rnacentral:rRNA from 1 species
CAGACGAAGCUGCGACUAACUACCGCAUACCGCCUGGGAAGGGAAGGCGGGGACCGUAAGGCCUCGCGCGAUUAGAGCGGCCGAUAUCUGAUUAGCUUGUUGGUGGGGUAAAAGCCCACCAAGGCGACGAUCAGUAGCUGGUCUGAGAGGACGAUCAGCCACACUGGGACUGAGACACGGCCCAGACUCCUACGGGAGGCAGCAGUGGGGAAUUUUGGACAAUGGGGGCAACCCUGAUCCAGCAAUGCCGCGUGAGUGAAGAAGGCCUUCGGGUUGUAAAGCUCUUUUGUCAGGGAAGAAACAGCAGCUCUAACACAGUCUGCGAAUGACGGUACCUGAAGAAUAAGCACCGGCUAACUACGUG